rnacentral:rRNA from 1 species
GAUGAACGCUGGCGGCGUGCUUAAUACAUGCAAGUCGAACGAAGUUUGUAGCAAUACAUUCUUAGUGGCGAACGGGUGAGUAACGCGUUGGUGACCUGCCCCGAAGAGGGGGAUAACAGUCCGAAAGGACUGCUAAUACCCCAUGUGAUCCCCGGUUUUAGAAUCUGGUGAUUAAAGGCGAAAGUCGCUUCGGGAGGGGCCUGCGUCCCAUCAGCUAGUUGGUAGGGUAAUGGCCUACCAAGGCUAUGACGGGUAGGGGACCUGAGAGGGUGGCCCCCCACAAUGGAACUGAAACACGGUCCAUACACCUACGGGUGGCAGCAGUAGGGAAUAUUGGUAAUGGGCGAAAGCCUGAACCAGCAACGCCGCGUGUGCGAUGAAGGCCUUCGGGUCGUAAAGCACUUUUUGGAGGGAUGAGGAAGGACAGUACCUCCAGAAUAAGCCUCGGCUAACUACGUG